rnacentral:rRNA from 1 species
GGGGGGGGGGGGGGGGGGGCGGGGGGGGGGGGGGGGGGGGGGGGAGGGGGUGCGGGGGGUUGGUGCACCAGAACCGGUGAGUGGCGAAGGGGGGGGGAGCGCGUAGGUAACCUGCCUGGUGGCGGGGGAUGACUAUUGGAAACGAUAGCUAAUACCGCCUAGUAUUGAUUAUUGCUGUAUCAUUAAUUGAAAUGUGCGAUGUCAUCACUCCCAGAUGGACCUGCGUUGUGUUCGCUAGAAGGUGAGGUAACGGCUAACCUAGGCGACUAUACCUAUCCGACCUGAGAGGGUGCUCGGCCACCAUGGGACUGAGACCCGGCCCAGACGCCUACGGGAGGCAGCAGUAGGGAAUCUUCGGCAAUGGACGAAAGUCUGACCGAGCAACGCCGCGUGAGUGAAGAAGGUUUUCGGAUCGUAAAGCUCUGUUGUAAGAGAAGAACGGGUGUGAGAGUGGAAAGUUCACACUGUGACGGUAUCUUACCAGAAAGGGACGGCUAACUACGUG